GGGCGGGUGGUGGAAUGGUAGACACGCUAGCCUUAGGAGCUAGUCCCGCAAGGGGUGGAGGUUCGAGUCCUCUCCCGCCCA
rnacentral:tRNA from 1 species